CUUGGGAUGGCGGGGGGGGAGCUUCCUGAAACUGACAUUUUCAAUCCUGCAGUGCCAGUGAAAUGAAAUUUUACACAUUCCUGUUGUUUUUGAUGAUAUCCACUGACUUCUGUCUGAUGCAAUGUCAUAGAUAGCAAACACUGCAGAAGCGGCAACUCUGAGGUCACGCGUCUGUCACUACUGGGCUUCCCUUCACUGUGGGCUGAAGCACAGGGUGUUCUGCGAUCAGCUAGAGGGCUUAGGAACCCGGAUACAAAGGCCUGGCUUCUCCCCAACCCAGAAUACAGCUCCUUCUAGAGAACCUGAACACAUGUCCUGGCUCAACCUCAAGUGCUAUAAUCUGUUGCCAUAGAUUCUGGGGAAUCAGUCAGUUUGUUUUUUCAAAUUAUGCUCCUUAAAAAGUUUAGGUGCCUGCCUCAGUUCAAUCCCUCAUUCCGCAAAAAAAAAGAAAGAAAGUUUGGGAGUCAUUCCCAGGCAAUUUGGAGGUGAAACUAAAAGGACAGGAUGGAUCUGAAGUUCCACUGAGAUCUGAUUAUAUACUUACUCACUUCCAUCCAGCUUCCGUACAAAGCUUGAAGACCCCUGAGCUCAUCUGGCCCCUCUCCAUUGCAGAAAGUAAAAUGGAAGCUGAGAGAGGAGAGUGGAAGCUGUGACCCAGGUCUCCCAAUCCCAGGGCUCUCUCUCCACUGUCCCUACCAUCCCCACCAUCCCUGUGCUCUCCCCACAGCCAGGUCUUUGUAAGAGGCAGGUUAGCUAGCUAGAGAGGGACAGGGCCUACCCGGGAGUCAGGGUGGCCAGCCUUACAAAGACAACACCUCCCCAGGUAAAGGGUUACCUUAAGCUGUGUCCAUCACUGAGUUUGCUUGGGAAGGUGAAAGCAAACAUAGGGAAGUCCCCAUAUAACUGGCCCCCAGCUCCCUUUUGCUUUGUUCUCUCUAAUUACACAAGAUUCUUGACAAGCCAGAGUGUUGCCAUCAGUCUGGGGUUCUUCUACUUGAUUCAGAUGGAAAUCAUGCAUUAGUCAGAUGCAGCUUUGUGGCAGUCCUGGAGUCCUGCUAGAUGUCAGCAGCUGACAUGACAGCUGCUGGGCGCUCCUGUCAGCUGCCACCUUGUGCUGGUCACCUCAGGUCAACUCUACCAGGCACUAAUUUUUGCUGCUGGUCUUGGCUACUGGUCCCUGUAACUCUUUGGUGUUAACAGCUCUGAGUGUUUGGCUUUCUUUGCAAACCAACCUCUCAGUCCACACUACCCAAGAAGUGAGUUAGAAACAGGUUUACAGAAACACAGUGAGUCUCUAUUGUAACAGGACCUGUGCUGCAGCACCGAGGGAAGGCACCUGGGCAGUGCCCAUCAGCCACCCUCCCAGACUGCAAGGAGCCCCUGGGAAGUGUGUCAGUGAAGGUGGGUGAAAUCAGGGACUUUUCCAGAAGACCUGCUGUGAAUGUUGGAUAUGCACAUAAGGGCUCAGAUCCCUCCCUUCUGGAUCUUGGCCACUCCAGGAUGCCCUCUCCAUUCUCAAAAAUGCAACAGGACCAUUUAAAGCGGCAGGAGUGGAGAGAGCACCAUGCUGCAUGGCUGCACUCAUGUUGGAAAGAAAAUGGCGGUUUGGUAGCCAAGGAGGACACUAAAGCAGACUGUGUGGGUCCCUGGGGGUGCAAGGGGGAACAAAGGAAGCAAGAGGAGGGGCAGGCAGCCACUGGCUAAUCCACACCCCCUCCAGCAGGCAGGGAAAAUGAGAGCGCCAGGCAGUUCUCCAAAUCAAGAGUGUUUAAUCAAUGCAUGGCUACUGCAUGCUCGGUUUUGCUAUAGGUUAUAUUGGAGAAUGACAGUCAUAACGAAAAUUCUACAGGCUAAGCCCACCUCUCCAGAGGGGUCAAGAUUACAGGAAGCAGGAUGGGCAGCUGGGACUCUAAACCCAGGAAGGAAUUCCUUAAGUAGAAUGAAAUGUACCAAGUAAACAACCCCUCCCUACAUCCAGGCUAAGGUUCCUGGAAUUUAAAAAUACUGAGUAACUGGUUUUUCUUUAAACUCUACAUUAGAAAGACUGAGUCGUAAUUGGGUAUUUUAAACCCACAGGGCUACCUGUGAUAAGUGACCACUGAAUACUGAACAGACUACCACACUCUGUUUAUCCAUAAGAGAUCCCAGUCAGAACCUGCUCUGGUGCCCACUCUGGUGCCUGUUUCAGGGCCCCUCCUUACUCUCAGGAGCCUUCUUUCUCCUUAACUGUCACCUUUGUCCAUAAUUUUAUUCUGUGACCUGUGAAACACCAGCCUGAUUUGGGUGGAAACACCAUGAAGUUGGUUGGCCAGUCUGGCUUCAUCUUUGAAUAAUCAAAAUUCUUCCCAGCAUCCUGGGCACCUCCUGAUUACUGGGUCUCUGCUAAUGGGCUAAGCAGGCAAGAUGUUCAGAUCAGCUGCAUGGGUCAGAAAACCCAAAAUAACAGUUGCUUAGAAAAGAUACAAGUUACAAAAAAAAAGAUACAAGUGUGUUUCUUUAUCUUAUAUGAACACAGAGCUGUGUGGCAGUUCCAUGCAGUAUUGAGGAUGCCAGGCUCUUUCCAAUCCAUCAGCCAUCCCAAAGAUGCAGUGCUUGUCCUUGGGGUACAAUAUGACAACCAGAGGGCUGGGGAUUUAGCUCAGUGGUUCCACCACCUGCCUCAAAAGUGCAAGGUCAAGAGAAGCUCAGCCAGUCCCAGCACCUGGAAGGAAGCUCCCCGUCUCCAUCCCAGGAUCCUAGGGCAGAGAAGCUCAGCUGGUCCCAGAACCCGGAAGGAAGCUCCCUGACUCCAUCCCAGGCUCCUAGGGCAGAGAAGCUGAGCUGGCCCCAGAACCCAG
rnacentral:lncRNA from 1 species